rnacentral:rRNA from 1 species
UGGGGAAUAUUGCACAAUGGAGGGAACUCUGAUGCAGCGACGCCGCGUGAACGAAGAAGGCUUUCGAGUCGUAAAGUUCUUUUAUAUGGGAAGAUAAUGACGGUACCAUAAGAAAAAGCCCCGGCUAACUACGUGCCAGCAGCCGCGGUAAUACGUAGGGGGCUAGCGUUGUCCGGAAUUAUUGGGCGUAAAGGGUACGUAGGCGGUUUAAUAAGUCCUAAUUAAAAGGCUAUGGCUCAACCAUAGUAUGGUUAGGAAACUGUUGAACUUGAGUAGAUGAGGGGAAAGUGGAAUUCCAUGUGUAGCGGUGAAAUGCGUAGAUAUAUGGAGGAACACCAAUGGCGAAGGCAACUUUCUGGAAUCAAACUGACGCUGAGGUACGAAGGCGUGGGGAGCAAACAGG